rnacentral:rRNA from 1 species
CGGACGGGUGAGUAACGCGUGGAUAACCUGCCUCACACUGGGGGAUAACAGUUAGAAAUGACUGCUAAUACCGCAUAAGCGCACAGUACCGCAUGGUACGGUGUGAAAAACUCCGGUGGUGUGAGAUGGAUCCGCGUCUGAUUAGCCAGUUGGCGGGGUAACGGCCCACCAAAGCGACGAUCAGUAGCCGACCUGAGAGGGUGACCGGCCACAUUGGGACUGAGACACGGCCCAA